ACGAACGCUGGCGGCGUGCUUAACACAUGCAAGUCGAACGGAAAGGCCCUGCUUUUGUGGGGUGCUCGAGUGGCGAACGGGUGAGUAACACGUGAGUAACCUGCCCUUGACUUUGGGAUAACUUCAGGAAACUGGGGCUAAUACCGGAUAGGAGCUCCGGCUGCAUGGUGGGGGUUGGAAAGUUUCGGCGGUUGGGGAUGGACUCGCGGCUUAUCAGCUUGUUGGUGGGGUAGUGGCUUACCAAGGCUUGGACGGGUAGCCGGCCUGAGAGGGUGACCGGCCACAUUGGGACUGAGAUACGGCCCAGACUCCUACGGGAGGCAGCAGUGGGGAAUAUUGCACAAUGGGCGGAAGCCUGAUGCAGCAACGCCGCGUGCGGGAUGACGGCCUUCGGGUUGUAAACCGCUUUCGCCUGUGACGAAGCGUGAGUGACGGUAAUGGGUAAAGAAGCACCGGCUAACUACGUG
rnacentral:rRNA from 1 species